AUUGAACGCUGGCGGCAGGCCUAACACAUGCAAGUCGAACGAGUGGCGGACGGGUGAGUAAUGUCUGGGAAACUGCCUGAUGGAGGGGAUAACUUAUGGAAACGGUUACCUAUACCCGCUACAAUCGAUGGGCCCAGGAUGGGAUUAGCUAGUAGGUGGGGUAAAGGCUCACCUAGGCGACGAUCCCUAGCUGGUCUGAGAGGAUGACCAGCCACACUGGAACUGAGACACGGUCCAGACUCCUACGGGAGGCAGCAGUGGGGAAUAUUGCACAAUGGGCGCAAGCCUGAUGCAGCCAUGCCGCGUGUAUGAAGAAGGCCUUCGGGUUGUAAAGUACUUUCAGCGGGGAGGCGUUACCCGCAGAAGAAGCACCGGCUAACUCCGUGCCAGCAGCCGCGGUAAUAC
rnacentral:rRNA from 1 species